AGCAAGAAUGGAGAGAACAGUAUUUGCAGUAAUAAGUGGAGGCUCUUUCAUCGGAUCCACAGUACUAACAAAAACGUCGAUAUGGGCUAAUUCAGAAGGCUUCCCUUCUUUCUCAUACCUGAGAAAAAUAUAUGGAAUAUAAUAGGUUAGGACACAAUGGAGGGGCAAGAAUCAUAGAUAUUGAUGUGUACAUGACAAUAGGUUAGGACACAAUGGAGGGGUAAGAAUCAUAGAUAUUGAUGUGUAAGAUGUAUAGUAAAUUAUACAUUGCAUGUCUUAAA
rnacentral:lncRNA from 1 species